GACGAACGCUGGCGGCGUGCCUAAUACAUGCAAGUAGAACGCACAGUUUAUACCGUAGCUUGCUACACCAUAGACUGUGAGUUGCGAACGGGUGAGUAACGCGUAGGUAACCUGCCUGGUAGCGGGGGAUAACUAUUGGAAACGAUAGCUAAUACCGCAUAAUAUUGAUUAUUGCAUGAUAAUUGAUUGAAAGAUGCUAUUGCAUCACUACCAGAUGGACCUGCGUUGUAUUAGCUAGUAGGUGAGGUAACGGCUCACCUAGGCGACGAUACAUAGCCGACCUGGGAGGGUGAUCGGCCACACUGGGACUGGGACACGGCCCAGACUCCUACGGGAGGCAGCAGUAGGGAAUCUUCGGCAAUGGACGAAAGUCUGACCGAGCAACGCCGCGUGAGUGAAGAAGGGUUUCGGAUCGUAAAGCUCUGUUGUAAGAGAAGAACGGGUGUGAGAGUGGAAAGUUCACACUGUGACGGUAGCUUACCAGAAAGGGACGGCUAACUACGUG
rnacentral:rRNA from 1 species